rnacentral:lncRNA from 1 species
CGGGGAGCGGCCACCGGCUGCGUCCACGUCCGCACGGGAGAGGGGAGAGGGGCAGUGUCGGCUGGACCCUGCGCCUGAGCCUGCGGCCGAGCAGGGAGCCCGGGAGCCCAGGAAGCGCAUCGGGCAGAGAACCGCUGGUCCUGGGGACACAGUGACGGGGCCAGGCCGGGGCUGCCGGCCUCGGGACAGAGCAGCAGCAGGCGGGUGCCACAGCAACAAAUCCAUGCCCCAUGAGAUGCAGGGUGACAGGAAAGAAGGGGAGAACUGGUGUUGACUCCAGCUAACUCACUGAAGUUCCGUGGAAGCCAUCCUGGUCGCAGCAGAGGUUGGGGUCAAAGUGUCCUGGAUCAGGACUCAUCUGCACACUCGGUAGUUCGCUGAUCUCACACUAGCCAAGUAUUUUCCUGCCUGGAAAUGGACAGCACUCUUGAUCUGAGGAGAGAAGGUGGGGAGCCCCUGCCCAGGCCUCGCACAAAGGCUGCUACAUCUUCUCUGUUUCCAUGGGGGCCCAGAGCCUCGCUGGCCACACACCCCUGGAGCUGACAUCUUGAGCUACACAGAGUCAACAGGAUCGCCUUGAAUCACUUCCCCACCUCACUCUGUACACCGAAGUAGAUGCCUGAAUCAGAGAAGACGCAUUUCUAAUGCAAACCAGAGGAGCGCUCAAGGGGGACCGUGGCUGAGUUUUAAGUCUUCUCCGUGGAGACAAAGUUCGUCAUGACGUGGCACAGCCUCAGUGCUGCCAGAGGAAAGCAGGCAAGUUGGAAUCUGCAAUCGCUGAUAACGUCUAUUCAUUUAAAAACAGGUGAAGAGGGCCCAGGGAUUUAGCUCAGUGGUUUUGUUGCCUGCUGCACAAGCGCAAGGACCUGAGUUCAAUCCCCAGUACCAAAAAAAAGAAAAUAAAUAAAUAAAAACAGGUGAAAAGAAAAUGUGGCCUAUCAACAAGUGAAAGACUAAUGACAAAUCAAAGAUUUUAUACAUUAAUCCUUAAAACUACUAAAAAAAUCAACAGAAAUGGACAAUAGUUAAGAGCAUAGUUUCAAUAAAUAAAUAAUAAAUGUUUAUGGCAAAUAGGCCAUAAGCGUGUAUACAAGG